rnacentral:lncRNA from 1 species
AAAUCUGCAGAACUUCUGGGGGGCAGGGAUGCCCCUCUGGUACUAUAGGGGAGAGGGUUCGGCUGGCUGAGACCAUGGGUGAAACUGCAGGAAAACACUAGUUUUUCGAGCUAACGAAAGCCGAACCCCUGCCCUGCAGUCGCGCGACCGAACCAGUCUGUUUUUGGGGCCAAAACACAUGGAAUCUGCAUGUUACGUGGAGUUGCAGCCUACUGAGGAAAGCCGGUCCCGAGGCGCCAGUCGCGCGACCGAACCUGCGUUUUUGGGCAAAAACACACGAAAUCUGCAUAUUACGUGGACUUGGAACCUACUGACGAAAGCCGAACCCGGGGCGGCAGUCGCGCGACCGAACCUGCGUUUUUGGGCAAAAGCCACAUGGAAUCUGCAUAUUACGUGGAUUUUGGGGCCUUUUCAAAAACGCAGUAGAGAACCGUACGAAAAAUCUGCAGAACUUCUGGGGGGCAGGGAUGCCCCUCUGGUACUAUAGGGGAGAGGGUUCUGCUGGCUGAGACCAUGGGUGAAACUGCAGGAAAACACUAGUUUUUCGAGGUAACGAAAGCCGAACCCCGUGUUGUUUGUUCGUGGAUAAGUUUCGGUUGCUCCCGUGCUCUGUGGACCUUCGGUUGCCAUCCUCGCAAGUAGACUCACCGUGCCUAGUGCGGUGGGAUGCUUUGGAUGGCUCGACCGUCGUGGCUACGUUGGCGCAUGAGUUGUGUUGGACCUGUGACUGCUUGGAGUACCCCCGCUGAUGUGCGGCCGACUCCCGGCGCCAGUGUCCCUUCAAUCGUGUGGGCAAGUUGUGCCUGCUGCAUUGACAAGUGCUUGCAUUCUGCUACCUGUGCAUGGGAAGUUGCUUCCAUUAUACGUUGCCUUUGUCGAGCGCACCCUCUGGGA